rnacentral:rRNA from 1 species
AACGUAGGGGGCGAGCGUUGCCCGGAUUCACUGGGCGUAAAGCGCGUGUAGGCGGUCCGUUAAGUCGGAUGUGAAAUCUCUGGGCUCAACCCAGAAAUCGCAUCCGAUACUGGCGGACUUGAGGAUGGUAGAGGUUGGUGGAAUUCCCGGUGUACCGGUGAAAUGGACAGAUAUCGGGAGGAACACCAGUGGCGAAGGCGGCCAACUGGGCCAUUCCUGACGCUGAGACGCGAAAGCCAGGGGAGCGAACAGG